GCUCAAGAUGCCUGCUGGUUGCAAGACCAUUUUCAUGAGGAUACUUCUCAUCUCUUGCAUUCUGCUCCCCCUUGGGUUUCUUUCUCUUGCACCGCCUCUACCCGCGGCUAGCUCGAGGAGCGCACGAACGUCUGGAUACAUUGUUAUCACUGGUUGCAACAAUUACUGCAGUGUGGCCUGCUGCUACUGUAACAUCCACAGGUUUCCACCUGUUUGUGAAAAGUGCUGCGAGUAAUAUCAAGUCUGUAAAACCGUAUCAGGAUGUGUCUUCACUUUGCCCAUCUUGGGAACAAGACAGGAGAUACUCCCGGUGUGCUGUCUUGGCAUGAUUUUGUAGUAAGUAGUACAUCGGAAAGUCUAAGUUUUCAGUUGUGCUGUAUGUUACUUUUCCAAUAACACUGUUACGUUUGUUACUUUGAAGCAACAUGAUCUGAAUAUGACAAUA